rnacentral:rRNA from 1 species
GAUGAACGCUGGCGGCGUGCCUAAUACAUGCAAGUCGAGCGAACGGACGAGGAGCUUGCUCCUCUGAUGUUAGCGGCGGACGGGUGAGUAACACGUGGAUAACCUACCUAUAAGACUGGGAUAACUUCGGGAAACCGGAGCUAAUACCGGAUAACAUGUUGAACCGCAUGGUUCAACAGUGAAAGACGGUCUUGCUGUCACUUAUAGAUGGAUCCGCGCCGCAUUAGCUAGUUGGUAAGGUAACGGCUUACCAAGGCAACGAUGCGUAGCCGACCUGAGAGGGUGAUCGGCCACACUGGAACUGAGACACGGUCCAGACUCCUACGGGAGGCAGCAGUAGGGAAUCUUCCGCAAAGGGCGAAAGCCUGACGGAGCAACGCCGCGUGAGUGAAGAAGGUCUUCGGAUCGUAAAACUCUGUUAUUAGGGAAGAACAAAUGUGUAAGUAACUAUGCACGUCUUGACGGUACCUAAUCAGAAAGCCACGGCUAACUACGUG